rnacentral:rRNA from 1 species
UACAGAGGUCUCAAGCGUUGUUCGGAUUCAUUGGGCGUAAAGGGUGCGUAGGCGGCGGGGUAAGUCAGGUGUGAAAUCUCGGGGCUCAACCCCGAAACUGCACUUGAUACUGCCUCGCUUGAGUACUGGAGAGGAGACUGGAAUUUACGGUGUAGCAGUGAAAUGCGUAGAUAUCGUAAGGAAGACCAGUGGCGAAGGCGAGUCUCUGGACAGUUCCUGACGCUGAGGCACGAAGGUCAGGGGAGCAAACGGG